CUGGGAAGGUGCUGUACAAGCGGCAUCCUGGUGAGAUGUUCUGCCACUUCCAAGGGAAGGCAGAGGGCAGCCAAGACGUGGUUUUUCCGAGGCUCAGCUUGUUUUGUGCCGCUGGCUCGACUUCUGCUGCCCAUGCUGAGAUCUAGAGGCUGGUCCUGACUUGCUGCAGAGGACCCUGCUGGCUUUGAGGCCCCACAAGUCCUGUUGAACCAAAGUACUUUUCAGCAAUAGAAGCAAUAGCCUUUAUAGAAUCAUUCACCGCUCCUGACACCGCAGUCUGCUCCUCUAAGGAUGAUCAGAGCCCGAGGUGGUUUCCAGGUCACUGCCACUGGGGGUACUGACAUCGUCAAGGUCAAGGUCACUACUCUCUGACUGGUCACUGAGUUUCUCAUGCGGCCUCUCUUCAGAGGACCUCUCUGGUUGAAGCUCCACUGGCUUAUUCUCCCCUACUGAUGGUUGCUUAUUUAGUGCCUUCAAAAUAUCCUGGGUGGCUGGCAGUAUCUGAGGAUUUGUCAUGAGGGGACUUUGACUUUUGUUUGUCUGAUCUGCGCUUGGUAGUCCUUUAACAGGAGAACUAGUAGGUAGCAAAGGUGGCCUGUGGUACAAGCCUGAAGGAAACAGACCGGGGAAGCUAAAAGAAAAUCCAGGAGCUGUUGGAAAGAAUCCUCUGGGAUGAGAACAGCGUCAGCCUCACAAAAGUAGCACUUGGAGAAAGCCUGAAACCACGGAGAAGAGGAGAUCUACCCUGAGCUUCUGAGCCUGAUCUAGCCAGCAGCAUUUGGCACAUCGGAGCACAGCUUCCCGCAACCCUUUUCAGUAGCAGGAGGCUGGAAGUGGUCUCAAGGGUGCAGAACAAGACACUACAAAGAAUGAAUCAUAUCACUGAAACAAACAGGAUUUUGCAGGUCCCUGGUUUUCUGGCUGCUGAAAACCUUAGGCAGCAAAUCGAGGCAGCGACCAAGUUUUAGGUCUGUAAGUUCAAUUGUGGUUUGGAAGAGGAUAAUGCUUAGCUCCCCAGUGCCUUUUUAUGUCCCCUUUUUGGUAUCCUUUGGAUAAGCAGAGGCAUCAAGCAAAUCCCAAAGCCAUGCUGUGUCUUGUGCCCUUCAUCACGCUACAAUUUGUCUGUACCUUGCUCCUAACAGCAUCAGCUCCAGCCUUGUUUAAGAACAAGGCAGCAGCACUAUCAACAGGCAGUAUUAUCCCUCUGUAAUAAAGCUUCUUUUUUCUGGUUUUUUUUUCCCCUCCUCCAGCCAGGAAAAAGCAUGUGGCUACUUUAUUUUUAUUUAAUUUGUGUUAUAUCAUAUGCUCUCAUCUUUCACACAUCAAAGCCACACAACAAUGCACAUUGUGUAUUCUGAGGCCUUUUUAACAAUCAUUUUCAUCAUUUGAGACAGACUGACAUAAUUUACAAUGGCUCUAUUUUAAGCCUGCAAAGGAAACUGAAUUGAAUGUAUCCCAUCCUGCACUCCUGGUUCCCAUGAACUGCAAUCACGUCCUCUAACUUCCACUCGCACCGGGGCCUGUGCUAACCUUCCUGAUCCUCUAAAUCUCUGCCCUUGAGAAACUUGACCACUUGUUGUCAUCUCUUAACUGUUUACCUCUUCAGCAGGCUGCUUCAUAUCUCAGCAACAAUGCUCCUAUUGUUCGAGGGCCUGAUCCUGCCUGAUCCACCCAUUUUCCCUGUGCAUGUCCCACUGACAUCCCUGGGACAGUCUGUGGGGUGAAGAGGGCAGGAUUGGGCCCAAACACAGGAAAUUUGUGAUGCGCUAAUUCAGGAAGAAUGUUUGUUGUUGUGUAUCAGUUACUGUUCCUGCUGGAAAUCUUCAUUCCAAAGGAUAGAUAAGAAAUGAGAGAAAAACAAAAAGUAAAAUUAAAAAGAAAUAGGAAAGAAAAGAUGGGAGAGAAAUUAAAAAGAGGCACAAGAGGAAAGGUUAAAAUGAAGAGAGGAGGAGAAGCAGAAGGAGAAGAAGAGAGGAGAAGCAGAAGGUCUGAAUGAGGCACUUAGUGCCAUGGUGUAGUUGAUUGGACAGGGCUGGGUGAUAGGUUGGACUGGAUGACC